AGGACGAACGCUGGCGGCGUGCCUAACACAUGCAAGUCGAGCGGGGACAUGCGACGGAUCGGAAGUUUCGGAUGGAAGAGAAGAUGUAUGUUCUAGCGGCGGACGGGUGAGUAACGCGUGAACAAUCUGUCCUUCACAGGGGGAUAACACAGCGAAAGUUGUACUAAUACCGCAUGAGACCACGUCGGGGCAUCCCGAAGGGGUCAAAGGAGCAAUCCGGUGAAGGGUGAGUUCGCGUCCGAUUAGAUAGUUGGUGAGGUAACGGCCCACCAAGUCGACGAUCGGUAGCCGACCUGAGAGGGUGAUCGGCCACAUUGGGACUGAGACACGGCCCAAACUCCUACGGGAGGCAGCAGUGGGGAAUAUUGGGCAAUGGGGGGAAACCCUGACCCAGCAACGCCGCGUGAGGGAAGAAGGUUUUCGGAUCGUAAACCUCUGUCCUUGGUGAAGAGGAAGAGACGGUAGCCAAGGAGGAAGCCCCGGCUAACUACGUGCCAGCCGCCGC
rnacentral:rRNA from 1 species